GUAGUAUUGUUAAUAAUAAAGGUUAUUAUAUCGUUAUCGAUACUUGGAGAAUGUGGUCGUGUGGAACGAGACACAAGCUUUACCGCCAGUCCUGAUAUGAAAGAAAUAAAUGUUAGCAGAGACAAAGAUAACUGGAAAUGUAAUGGCGUCAAUUGCCCUGCGAAAGUUACAACAUCCUGUUCGGUUAUGAAAACUUUGGCGCCAAUUUUAAAGAUGGAUUAUGAUGCUGUCAUUAUUUGUAGGAAUAUUAAGAAAAAGAUCAUUUGUGGAGCAACUGUCAGCAAGAAAACCCAAC